GGGGAAGGAUGAGAAGCUUCAACCAAGGUUCGACUUGAGCGCCAGCGAGAGAGCGUUGCCGCAGGCAACGACCCGAAGGGUGAAGCGCGCAGCGCUGAGUAAUCCUUCUCCCACCACCA
rnacentral:sRNA from 1 species